AAUCAACGCUGGCGGCGUGCCUCAGACAUGCAAGUCGAACGAUUAAAGCUCUCUUCGGAGAGUGUAUAGAGUGGCGCACGGGUGAGUAACACGUAAGUAAUCUACCUUCGAGUGGGGAAUAACGUCCGGAAACGGACGCUAAUACCGCAUAAUGCAGCGGCACCUAAUGGUGACAGUUGUUAAAGCGGGGGAGUCGUAAGACCUCGCGUCUGAAGAGGAGCCUGCGGCGGAUUAGCUUGUUGGUAAGGUAAUGGCUUACCAAGGCGACGAUCCGUAACCGGCCUGAGAGGGCGGUCGGUCACACUGACACUGACAUACGGGUCAGACUCCUACGGGAGGCAGCAGUCGGGAAUUUUGGGCAAUGGGCGCAAGCCUGACCCA
rnacentral:rRNA from 1 species